AUGAUCUGGACACAGAGUGAGCAUUGUUGUGCCCGCAGAGAAAGUGGAUUUUGGAGGAUCGAUCAGGUGGAUUGAUCCAAGUUGCUAUUCCAGUUUGAGGAGAAGGGGUUGACUGGUGGGGAGUUGUCUAUGUGUCCACCCUCGCCUGGGUGAUAGCUCCACCACAGAAGACCGGUCCCCCUGGUUAAAGUCACAGUCGGUGACUUGUAAAGGAUUUCGGAGGACGACGAGAAGAUCAGGGGCAUCAGCUCAUCUGAAGACUCAACUCACUCUCUCUCUCUCUCUCCAUCACUACUCAACUAAAUACCACGAACUGAACUGAACUGAACUUCACUCAACAUCAUUGAAAAAGAAGGAAAAGAAGUCAUGCAGCCUCUGAAGCAGGUGGGAAGAGGAAAAGCUGAAGCUUGAAGCCCAGAGGUAGGGUGGAUGCUGCAUACCAAGACAGGUUGUGGAAAAACAGGACAUGGAGUUUAGAGGAGGCAGACCAAAAUGUCAUGAUGCAUGAGCCCGGACUGGAAAACAACACUGAUACUGAUCUAGAUUUUCAAUGCUUUAUGUCCCGUGUGCCUCAUCUGAUAAUGCAAUCUGAGUUAAAUAACCUGUUCAGAGACUUGGGUUUGUCAAAGACAAAAGCAGAAUUACUGAGUUCAAGACUGGAAGGAUGGAAUCUGUUGUCACCGGGCACAAAAAAAAAUCCAUGAAGGAUUUCAAAAUUUGAAACAGACAUUUCCCAAAAUAACUCAUGCCAUGAUUAAGCAAGUCAUUUGUUAGUCCACAAGUCAAAUGGGUCAUCGAUGAUCGACACUUUGAAAAACUUGUGGGACUGGGGAAAAUUGCGUGGAAGGCAUUCAAGGAUAUUGAUGAAAAUUUUCUUGGCAUCUACAGAGCACCAAACUUGUUGACAACAUGCAUCAAGCCUACAAAACCAUGAAGUACAACAUGUCACUAAAGAUUUAUUUUCUGCAUGCAUUCCCACUUAGACUUCCCUGCAAAUCUUGGCACUGUCAGUGACAAGCAUGGUGAAAGGUUUCUCCAGGACAUUACAGUCAUUAGGAAAAUGAUAUCAGGGCAACUGGAAGCCAUCGAUGUUGGCUGAUUAUUAUUGGAACUUCAGAGAGAAGCCUCAGACACUGAGUACAAAUGAAAAUCAUCAACAAAACAAUUUUAGGUUAGUUGAACUAUUGCAAAGGCUCAGUACUAUUAUGCACUUAAACACAUUAUAUUCAAUAAAAGUUAGUUUCUUGUUUCUCCAAAUUCCUAUGUGAGAUGAGUAGUCUGAGAUUGUAUUUGUGCUCAGCUUCAAGUGGUCUAUCAUAAACCAAAAAAAAAAUUCUGAGGAAACAACAGUUGAAAAAAAUGUUGUUUUCUGGUGUGAGCGUCCUUGCAUUUAUCCCUGAGCAGUCUUACUCAACCCUUUGUUUCGGGCUCUUAACUACAUGAGGGAAUACCUUAAUAUUCUAUGUAAUGGUGAAGGUGAGAUUGGGGAGGCAUUGCGGGUAUUUCGAGAAAUCGAUGUUCAUGCCAUCAGGUUGGGGGCUACCCAGAUGGAAUUUAAGGUGUUCCUCCAGCCUGAGUGUGGCUUCAUCAAGCCCAUAGAGGAGGCCAUGGAUUGACAUAGUGGAAUGGGAAUGGGAAGUGGAAUUAAAAUGUGUGACCACCAGGAAAUCCCACUUUUUCUGGCAGGUGAUGGCAUAAACAUCGAUAUCUCAAACUUCUGGCAAUGCCUCACCACUCCACAUCCCCUUUUCCCUCUCUUACCUUAUCUCCUCGCCUGCCCAUCGCCGCUCUCUGGUGCUCCUCUCCCUUUUAUUUCUUCCAUGACCUUCUGUCCUCUCCGGUCAGACUCCCCCUUCUCCAGCCUUGUACCUCUUGUACCAAUCAACUUCCCAGCUCUUUACUUCAUCCCUUCCCCUCUGGGUUUCACCUAUCAACUUGUUUCUCUCUUCCCUCCUCCCACCUUUUAAAUCUACUCCUCAUCUUUUUUCCUCAGACCUACCGAAGGGUCUUGGCCUGAAACGUUGACUGUACUUUUUUCCGUAGAUGCUGUCUGGCCUUUUGAGUUCUUCCAGCACUUUGUGUGUGUUGCUUGUGUGUCUGCAGAUAUUCUCUUGUUUGUUUUUGAAAAAGGAUCUAGAUUUUUGUCUUUGUUUGAAAAGGUUUCGGCUGUGUGUCAUAUUACUUUUCACAGUUCAGGAAAUGAUUCAUGUUCCUGGUAUUAAAUACCUUUUGUCAAGUAUUUUAUGGUUUGAUUGUUUUUUUAUUACAAAUUAUAUUAGUCUAGAUGGAUGCCAAGAAAUUCAUCACAAUUCUGCGUGGUCAAUAUGUUUGUAGCAGAAGCAACAUUCUUGGAUGUCUCAAUGAAAUACGUUUUCAAGGCAAAGUCCAUUGUGUUGAGGCAGCCUGUUAGUGCACUUCACUCUGCACUCCUCACUCGAAGAAGGACACUUUUUGACUGUUGAAGGAGAAAGAAAGAAUAAAGUGGAAACAUUGGAAACAGAGAUCUCGUCAGCAUUAAGUGGGACAGUGUGGAGUGGAGUCAUCAUUUGCAGAUCGCUUGGUGCCAGUGUGGGGUCAGAGCUGAGACAGCUUUUCAGCUGAAAUGGCCCUGGCACCAUCCUACUCACCCUGAACACAACAAAAACUGAUAAGAAUUUUCUAAUGAACAUGGACACUUUUGAAACAGGGCAGUGUUACAGGGACAAUGUGGUUAAUGGUAAAAGCUGAACUCUGACCAGGUCGCUAAAGUGAUUAUGGAAGCCAGCAGAAAUUUAAGAUAAUUCAAAGAAACAAGUACAGAUA